rnacentral:RNase_P_RNA from 1 species
GGGGUGCCCAACGCCCGCGAGGAAAGUCCCCCCACCUGUUCGGGCAGGUGACCGGACGCAAGUCUGGAGCGGGAGACCGCUGGCUCUGGAACAGAAACGACACGUCUCGGCCCGACCGAUGAUGCGCGCGAACCCGACCGAGAGGAAGGGGAGCUAACCCGCAGAGGGAACGUGGUCGCAUGUUGCUCGCGGUUGAACUCCGCAGGUCACGCUCGACGUGACCGACCACGCACUGACGGCCGAGGAUCGAUGGAACGGCGAACCCUCACCGGUGCAAGUCCGCGCCGUGGUAGCCCGAACACCCCGCGGCAUCGCCGCGGACGGCGUGGACGCUCAGCCGAAUGCCGGGAUGAACAGAAGGGGGCUUACUCCUCUCACCC